AGACAGACUUGUUAGCAUCACUGAUAAGCACCAGCCUUGGGCAAAGGGGAAUUGAGCAGCUUGCUCUUAUUUAUCUCUUAGACAAACUUUGUAGGUGGAGAUCUGCAGGCUUGGUAUGAGAGGUUGCUGAGGGAGGGAGUCUUGUGUUGGUGGGACAGCCCUCUUUUGGUAACAGAACAGAGUCUCGAGGGCCACGGUACCCAAGUGAAACCUUUUGCUUCAUUAUGUGUAAAAUGAAUAUUAAAGUUAAUGCCCUGAAUAUGAUAAUGAGUUAAUGAAGUAUAUGCUAAACAUAUAUAACUACAGUGUUUGACUCUUCAGCCAAAUCAUGUUAAAUGUCACCCCCAGGGAGGGAUAAGGUUAGGAUAUAAUAGAGUGUUAAGAGUCAGUGAAAAAAAAUAAUAAUAAAGUGAGGAAAAAAAAAAGAGAGCAAGGAAAAAAGAGCUGCUGGGGAGAAAGAAGAAAUUGGAAAUCUAGUAGGGGCAGCUGAUGGGCUGUGCUCCUUCUCCUUCACCAAAAUAGGAAUGCCUUCUUGUGCUUGCAGGCAACAAGCACUUGGCCACCACCUUGACCUCACUGGAAGUCACUGGGAGACCAACCUGAGCAAAAGUCACCCUCGUAUUAGCCUAAACCCAAAGCCUGAGAAGAGCACCACAAACUAAUAGGUGGGUGUCAGCACAGGAGAAUGAACAAAAGUAACAUGAAACAACUGAUGGAGUUUACUCCAUCAUGAAAAUAUGUCCAGGCAAACCUUUCUGUUGCUUGUGCUAUCCUUUCACAAUUGAGAUGGACACCAGGGAAUCUCCAGCUGCUCCCCUGAAGACAGAUACUAAUGCAGUGUUUUACCCUAUGCAGAAGGAACCUAAGCAAAAAAUCAUAUACAUAUAUAUAAUAAAAAUAAAA